UACUUCUCUUCCUGAUUUUUCUCUCUCCCUUUCUUCCAAUCCCCUAUUUUUGUUUCUCUGUGCCUGGAAAGUGUUUGAUGAAAAUCCAAUAAGGCUGGAAGGGCAGUAUUAAUCUAUGUUAGUCAUCUGAUUUCUUUUUUCUAUUAUUUAGUUCCAGUAGAAAAUAACAAGUUGAGUAGACCGACUAGCUUUUUGCAAUUUAGGUAUUGAAGAAGAUCAUCGUGACUGCUUUUUCUUUCAUGCAAUAGUUCAGGUUUAUUGUUCUUAGUUUUUCUGUAGUGGUUAAUUUGAUUGCUAUGGAUUAAAAUCUAGAGCUACCUUAUAAUACUGCUUGAAAAUAGCUUUGGCUCUUCACACAUGGGAGUAAUAGGACAGUUUGCGUUCCUAAUUUUCUUUUCUCUGUAUAUGUACAUAGUUUUCAGAUUCUAAUUGUUUGCUACUGAAGCGUAUGUUUUUCUUUUUCGGAAUUGGGUGCGUAUGAACAAUGCAACGGAGGUUAUGUUAAUUCCUAGAGUCUUAUAUGUUCUUUUGUCUCCUGGUGAUUACUUUGAAUGGCUGUGUGAGGAACACAGGUUGCAAUUCCAGUUUCAUCGACGGACUCGCUCGCUGCUCUAGAAGGUGCUUUGGCUUGUUUCUCUGACCGAUUUAUUGGGACAUCUCACAUGGAUCUUCAUGCCUCAUAUACCUAUUUUUUAUUCUCUCGUCAAUUCCACAUGUCUGCUCGUCCAUUGCACGGUACUAGAUGGUCCCUGUUAAGUUAAUUCGAGGUGGGUAAGGUUUGAAUCUCUAUAAGACUCACAGUCAGGUAUGACUGGAGGCAUAUUAUGUAAGUGCAUGUCUACUGUUAUGAGGUUUCAGUUUUCGACUCUAUGCAAUUCUCGGUGCAAGGGCCCCCGCUUCCUUGUUGUGACGUUGCAGCCUCACCGGCCCUUCUGCAGGCAAGAGUUAUGUCCAGAUGAGCUAACCCUUUACUAUCCAAACCUUCUGAAGGUCAUUAGCUCUGAUUCUUUGGAAAAAAGGUUGAGAGCUAUACAAAACAACGCUAAAGAUGGAGCGGCCUGCCAUGUAUUAGGGCAUACACAUUUCUGUUGGGAUUAUGCGGUUGACAAUAUCAGGUAUGUACAAGCGCCUCUGGCAUACCCUCGAGAAAGAAAGCGAAGGAUAAAUGGAGGCCAAGGAUGGCUGCCGUUUUUUGUAUAUUGUGAUGGCUUCAACCCUGAAACAAGAAUAGAAGGGAGCCUGAGAACACUCAGCUUGCGCCAUGGCAGUCUGACUAUUACAACAAGACAGAAGAGAGCCGGAGAACACUCAGCUUGCACUGUGGGUUGCCAAAUAUUUUUCAAUAUACUAUGGACCCCCUGUGUUUGCUCGAGUGUAUUGUACACCAAAAUCAUGAGAGCUCCACACAUAAAUUUUGCCCAGACAUACUAUGUUCCUUCAAGUGUAAGCAUUUGAAAUUCUUGAUGCAUUUGAGACGGUGGAAACGAGAGAAGCUGGGAUCGUAGCACUGACCAUGACUGUGAUUGCUAGAGCUCUCAACUGGCUGGGAAGAUUUGACAAGAGAUGUGGAGAUGGGGCACGGGGAGGGGAGGACGAGUCGGCCUGGAGGCCCCGGUUGUGGCUUCAACUAGGCAGGCUUGGGACUCGCGGUGGCGGGCGGCCUCACGCUGGAUCUGGUCCUGGCGGGCGGCCUCGGCCUCGUCCACACGGACUUCUCCUGGUUGUUGAACCGGUUGAGGGUCAUCCAACUUCUUGUUUAUCAGGCUUCAACUAGGCAGGCUUGGGACUCGCGGUGGCGGGCGGCCUCACGCUGGAGCUGGUCCUGGCGGGCGGCCUCGGCCUCGUCCACACGGACUUCUCCUGGUUGUUGAACCGGUUGAGGGUCAUCCAACUUCUUGUUUAUCAGGUUACUGUUUGAUAAAAUGCAAGAUAUUUUUGUUUGGAAGGGUUUCCUGACAUCCGGACAGGUCAUACUUUUGCAAGAUACAUGCGAGGAUUGCUGUGUCAAACCUGCACAAGGAUUCCAAGAAGUUCUCGAAGACGUAAGCCACGACGUAUGUUUCUACCAUGAUUUCCUUCAGUUGGAUUUCGUGGAUUUAGGUGUUGAAAAAUUAUGGGCUGUGGAUGGCUGCUUCUUUGUAGCUUCCAAAUUUGAAAUGUUUGUUUGAGAGUUAAUUUAGUUUCUGUUAUGGAUUCACAGCUUCUCACAUGUACCAUCCUUUUAGACUUUUAGAUUUCUAAAGAAACAAAAUGAAGAUAUCAUGGAAUGGUCUCAAUAGUACAGCUUAAAGCUUUUUAUGCUUUAUAUUUUCUUUGAAA